ACAGAAUGUGUCUGACACUCAUCGGAAAAAGGCGGUGGAGCAGUGAGUCAACAUCGAGUUUUGUGAUAAGUCAGGCAGUGAAACGUUUGCUAAGGCACGCCAUUUGGUGGAAUGGAGCGCUAGAGCAGGCACGAACGUGUUGUUGGAGUGUAAGCCUUUUACAAAAACGAUACCUGUGUUGCUGCUGCUAGACGGGAAUCCCGUCUUUAUUUCAGCAUUGGUAGGAAAAAUCCUGUACCGUCUGAACAUGCAAUCAGGUCACGUGUGACAAUGAAGCAACAGGAAGUAUGCACUUCUGCUGAAAUCGCCCGGAAGGCCCAGAAGUUGUCGCUCACAGGAACAAACGGAGGAGAGGCAGACCAUAUGGACCGACGACUUGUCAUUCUUUGUCCUCUUAGCACUCACUCUAUGGGAGGAACUUACAAAAAUGUAGAAGAUGUUUGUUUG